CGCCUGUUUAUCAAAAACAUGUCCUUGAGAGUUUAUUUAAGGUCUGUCCUGCUCAAUGAAUUUUUUUUUAAAUAGCCGCGGUAUUUUAACUGUGCAAAGGUAGCAUAAUAAUUAGUCUUUUAAUUGAGGUCUGGUAUGAAUGGUUAGACGAGAAAUAUACUUUAUUUGAAAAAUUUUUUUGAAUUUUAAAUUUAAGUUAAAAUUCUUAAAUUUUUAAGAGGGACGAUAAGACCCUAUAGAUCUUAAUAAUUAUUUUUUUUUGUUUUUUUUUGUUGUGAUUUAAUAUAUUUAAAAUUUUUUUUUUGUUGGGGUGAUUACCAAAAAUUUAAACUUUGGUUUAUUUUUACAUAAAAUUUAUGUAUUUUUUGAUCCUUUUUUUUGAUUAUAAGAAAUAGAUACCUUAGGGAUAACAGCGUUAUUUAAUUGGAGAGUUCUUAUCUAUAAUUAAGUUUGCGACCUCGAUGUUGGAUUAAAUUUUGUUUGUGGGGUAGGUUUUACAAAACUAGGUCUGUUCGACUUUAAAAAUUUACAUGAUCUGAGUUCAGACCGG
rnacentral:rRNA from 1 species